rnacentral:misc_RNA from 1 species
ACUAGAAUUGCUGUUGGUGAUUGUCGUGAUGGCAUCCUUUUCUACUCGUAUCAAGAGGAUUCAAGAAAACUAGAUCAAAUUUACUGUGACCCUGUCCAGAGGUUAGUUUCUGAUUGCACUCUUAUGGAUGGAGACACAGCUGCCGUUUCAGAUCGAAAGGGGAGUUUUGCAAUUUUAUCAUGUCUGAAUUACAUGGAAGAUAAUUUCAACAGUCCAGAACGCAAUCUAGCUCAAACUUGUUCAUUCUACAUGGGCGAGAUAGCUAUAAGAAUUCGAAAGGGGUCAUUCUCCUAUAAACUUCCUGCAGAUGAUGCACUUAGGGGCUGUCAAGCUACCAGCAUUGUCGGUGACAUAUCACAAAAUAGUAUCAUGGCUAGUACGCUUUUAGGGAGCAUAAUUAUUUUUAUUCCUCUUACUAGGGAGGAAUAUGAUCUCUUAGAAGCAGUACAGGCCAGGCUUGUCAUCCAUCCGCUGACUGCUCCUAUUUUGGGAAAUGACCAUACUGAAUAUCGUUGUCGUGGAAGUAUGGCUAGGGUACCUAAAGCUCUGGAUGGUGAUAUGCUUGCUCAGUUCUUGGAGCUUACUAGUAUGCAACAAGAAGCUGUAUUAGCAUUGCCUCUUGGCGCACAAAACACAAUUAUGUUCAAUUCGAAGCAAUCUCCUGAUCCAAUUACUGUUAAUCAGGUUGUGCGACUGCUAGAACGAAUUCAUUAUGCCCUGAACUGAAUAUCAGGUUUAUCUUUGUCCUGAUGCUUUGAGAGCUGUUUACUUGGUCUUUGAUUGACCGCGAAAUCAAGUGGCCUUUGCUAGUGCCAAUUGCCUAUCUGUUCAUAUUUUUGGAAGCAAGCAAGGUGAUUAUCUGUGAUUGCCAGAUGAUGAUUGGAGCUGGGUUUAACAUUGUCUACAUGCAGGCUAUUCUGGUUUGUUUCGCUGUUGUUGGGUUGGGAGUUGGGAGCUAGGUUGUGUGGAUUCUUCACUCUCGAUGUUGCACCCAUGUCGGAUUCUCCAACAAUACACUACUUUUGAAGAAGUAUUCGGCAUGCAUGAGUUGACAAUUUUUUAAAGAGUUCAAGCAAUGUGGAUUGGGGUAAUGCAGAAAUAAUUUUGCAGGGCGCUUCCUUCAUGGUAAUAGUCUGUACCCAGUUUUGUAGCUUUUCACUUAAUUGUUGUAAAUAUAUGUUUAGCGG